rnacentral:rRNA from 1 species
CUACGGGAUGCACCAGUGAGGAAUAUUGGACAAUGGAGGCAACUCUGAUCCAGCCAUGCCGCGUGCAGGAAGACGGCCCUAUGGGUUGUAAACUGCUUUUAUACAGGAAGAAUGGUGCCUACGUGUAGGUAUUUGACGGUACUGUACGAAUAAGGAUCGGCUAACUCCGUGCCAGCAGCCGCGGUAAUACGGAGGAUCCAAGCGUUAUCCGGAAUCAUUGGGUUUAAAGGGUCCGUAGGCGGUCUGAUAAGUCAGAGGUGAAAUCCUGCAGCUCAACUGUAGCAUUGCCUUUGAUACUGUUAGACUUGAGUUAUUGUGAAGUAGUUAGAAUGUGUGGUGUAGCGGUGAAAUGCAUAGAUAUCACACAGAAUACCGAUUGCGAAGGCAGAUUACUAACAAUACACUGACGCUGAGGGACGAAAGCGUGGGUAGCGAACAGGAUUAGAUACCCCGGUAGUC